GCCCAGCUUGCUGGGUGGAUUAGUGGCGAACGGGUGAGUAACACGUGAGUAACCUGCCCCUGACUCUGGGAUAAGCGUUGGAAACGACGUCUAAUACUGGAUACGACUGCCGGCCGCAUGGUCUGGUGGUGGAAAGAUUUUUUGGUUGGGGAUGGACUCGCGGCCUAUCAGCUUGUUGGUGAGGUAAUGGCUCACCAAGGCGACGACGGGUAGCCGGCCUGAGAGGGUGACCGGCCACACUGGGACUGAGACACGGCCCAGACUCCUACGGGAGGCAGCAGUGGGGAAUAUUGCACAAUGGGCGAAAGCCUGAUGCAGCAACGCCGCGUGAGGGAUGACGGCCUUCGGGUUGUAAACCUCUUUUAGUAGGGAAGAAGCGAAAGUGACGGUACCUGCAGAAAAAGCACCGGCUAACUACGUGCCAGCAGCCGCGGUAAUACGUAGGGUGCAAGCGUUGUCCGGAAUUAUUGGGCGUAAAGAGCUCGUAGGCGGUUUGUCGCGUCUGCUGUGAAAUCCCGAGGCUCAACCUCGGGCUUGCAGUGGGUACGGGCAGACUAGAGUGCGGUAGGGGAGAUUGGAAUUCCUGGUGUAGCGGUGGAAUGCGCAGAUAUCAGGAGGAACACCGAUGGCGAAGGCAGAUCUCUGGGCCGUAACUGACGCUGAGGAGCGAAAGCGUGGGGAGCGAACAGGAUUAGAUACCCUGGUAGUCCACGCCGUAAACGUUGGGCGCUAGAUGUAGGGACCUUUCCACGGUUUCUG
rnacentral:rRNA from 1 species